UACGGAGGAUGCAAGCGUUAUCCGGAAUUAUUGGGCGUAAAGCGUCCGCAGGUGGCACUUCAAGUCUGCUGUCAAAGACCGGGGCUUAACCCUGGAAAGGCAGUGGAAACUGAAGCGCUAGAGUGUGGCAGGGGUAGAGGGAAUUCCCGGUGUAGCGGUGAAAUGCGCAGAUAUCGGGAAGAACACCCGUGGCGAAGGCGGUUCUCUGGGACGGUACUGACGCUGAGACGCGAAAGCGUGGGGAGCGAACAGG
rnacentral:rRNA from 1 species